GUGAGACAGAGCCUUGGAGAGUCAGGGAGGGCAGAUGAAUGUUGCCUGAAGCAAAGAGCUGAAGGAGAACAGUAACUGUGAACCGCCAGUGAGGAGCUUGGAGGAAGCUGUUGAAUUGAUAAGUGGGAACUGAAAAGGACCUUGAAGAAUUGAUGCCCCAGUUUCCCAACAAGAGGAUGCCAAGUAUUCUAUCUGAGAGUUAUCAUGUGAUAUGGAACUCCCCUAAAUAGGGCUGCCUGGUGUCAUUCCAGAUACUUAAUCAGAGCAUUGAGUCCUGAAGUGAGGAGGAGGGGAAAGUCUAACCUGGCUGAACUCACUGCAGUGAGCCACUGCAAGAGAUAGGGAUUGCUGGAACCUGAAGGCCCAGUUUUGGAGUUGUGGAGGCCAUGGGCCUGCCUCUGUGAAACCGUGAGGAUUCUUAAAGUCCAGCACACUAGAGGGAUACUCACAAGACACUGGUUAACGGCUGGGGCAUAGACCAGACCCUGUGAAUCUGUGACACAAACAUUUUUGAUGUAACUGAGUUAUCUCAAUGAAAAAUGUGAAUGAUUGAUUUUUA